UACGUAGGGUCCGAGCGUUUGUCCGGAAUUACUGGGCGUAAAGAGCUCGUAGGCGGCUUGUCGCGUCGUGUGUGAAAUCUCAGGGCUCAACUCUGACAUUGCAUACGAUACGGGCAGGCUUGAGUUCGGUAGGGGAGACUGGAAUUCCUGGUGUAGCGGUGAAAUGCGCAGAUAUCAGGAGGAACACCGGUGGCGAAGGCGGGGUCUCUGGGCCGAUACUGACGCUGAGGAGCGAAAAGCGUGGGGGAGCGAACAGG
rnacentral:rRNA from 1 species